rnacentral:rRNA from 1 species
UACGGAGGGUGUAAGCGUUAUCCGGAUUCACUGGGUUUAAAGGGUGCGUAGGUGGGCAGGUAAGUCAGUGGUGAAAUCUCCGGGCUUAACUCGGAAACUGCCGUUGAUACUAUCUGUCUUGAAUAUCGUGGAGGUUAGCGGAAUAUGUCAUGUAGCGGUGAAAUGCUUAGAUAUGACAUAGAACACCCAUUGCGAAGGCAGCUAACUACACGAUCAUUGACACUGAGGCACGAAAGCGUGGGGAGCAAACAGG